CGUCUUGCGGGAGAUGGCAGCCUACCUAUAACCGCCCUCGCGGCUGAUGAUGCCUACGAUUUC
rnacentral:ncRNA from 17 species